GGUGGAGCAUGUGGUUUAAUUCGAAGCAACGCGCAGAACCUUACCAGCCUUUGACAUCCCGGUCGCGGAUUAGAGAGAUCUUUUCCUCAGUUCGGCUGGAUCGGUGACAGGUGCUGCAUGGCUGUCGUCAGCUCGUGUCGUGAGAUGUUGGGUUAAGUCCCGCAACGAGCGCAACCCUCGUCCUUAGUUGCCAUCAUUUAGUUGGGCACUUUAAGGAAACUGCCGGUGAUAAGCCGGAGGAAGGUGGGGAUGACGUCAAGUCCUCAUGGCCCUUACAGGCUGGGCUACACACGUGCUACAAUGGCGAUGACAGUGGGCAGCAAACUCGCAAGGGUGAGCUAAUCUCCAAAAGUCGUCUCAGUUCGGAUUGCACUCUGCAACUCGAGUGCAUGAAGGCGGAAUCGCUAGUAAUCGCGGAUCAGCAUGCCGCGGUGAAUACGUUCCCAGGCCUU
rnacentral:rRNA from 1 species